ACAGAGAUGGAGUCCUUCAGUUCGGCUGGCUGGAACACAGGUGCUGCAUGGCUGUCGUCAGCUCGUGUCGUGAGAUGUUGGGUUAAGUCCCGCAACGAGCGCAACCCUCGCUUCUAGUUGCCAUCAUUCAGUUGGGCACUCUAGAGGGACUGCCGGUGAUAAGCCGGAGGAAGGUGGGGAUGACGUCAAGUCCUCAUGGCCCUUACGGGUAGGGCUACACACGUGCUACAAUGGCGGUGACAGUGGGCAGCGACAACGCGAGUUGAUGCUAAUCCCAAAAAGCCGUCUCAGUUCAGAUUGCAGCCUGCAACUCGGCUGCAUGAAGUUGGAAUCGCUAGUAAUCGUAGAACAGCAUGCUACGGUGAAUACGUUCCCGGGCCUUGUACACA
rnacentral:rRNA from 1 species